UACGGAGGGGCCAGCGUUGUUCGGAAUCAUUGGGCGUAAAGGGCGCGUAGGCGGCCGAUCAAGUCGGAGGUGAAAUCCCUCGGCUCAACUGAGGAAUUGCCUCCGAUACUGUUCGGCUUGAGUCCUGGAGAGGGUAGUGGAAUUCCCAGUGUAGCGGUGAAAUGCGUAGAGACUGGGAAGAACACCAGUGGCGAAGGCGGCUACCUGGACAGGUACUGACGCUGAAGCGCGAAAGCUAGGGGAGCAAACAGGG
rnacentral:rRNA from 1 species